GUGGGGAAUAUUGCACAAUGGGCGCAAGCCUGAUGCAGCGACGCCGCGUGAGGGAUGACGGCCUUCGGGUUGUAAACCUCUUUCAGCACAGACGAAGCGCAAGUGACGGUAUGUGCAGAAGAAGGACCGGCCAACUACGUGCCAGCAGCCGCGGUAAUACGUAGGGUCCGAGCGUUGUCCGGAAUUACUGGGCGUAAAGAGCUCGUAGGUGGUUUGUCGCGUUGUUCGUGAAAACUCACAGCUUAACUGUGGGCGUGCGGGCGAUACGGGCAGACUGGAGUACUGCAGGGGAGACUGGAAUUCCUGGUGUAGCGGUGGAAUGCGCAGAUAUCAGGAGGAACACCGGUGGCGAAGGCGGGUCUCUGGGCAGUAACUGACGCUGAGGAGCGAAAGCGUGGGGAGCGAACAGGAUUAGAUACCCUGGUAGUCCACGCCGUAAACGGUGGGUACUAGGUGUGGGUUUCCUUCCUUGGGAUCCGUGCCGUAGCUAACGCAUUAAGUACCCCGCCUGGGGAGUACGGCCGCAAGGCUAAAACUCAAAGGAAUUGACGGGG
rnacentral:rRNA from 1 species